rnacentral:rRNA from 1 species
AACGAACGCUGGCGGCAUGCCUAACACAUGCAAGUCGAACGAGACCUUCGGGUCUAGUGGCGCACGGGUGCGUAACGCGUGGGAACCUGCCCUUAGGUUCGGAAUAACUCCCCGAAAGGGGUGCUAAUACCGGAUAAUGUCUUCGGACCAAAGAUUUAUCGCCUUUGGAUGGGCCCGCGUUGGAUUAGCUAGUUGGUAGGGUAAAAGCCUACCAAGGCGACGAUCCAUAGCUGGUCUGAGAGGAUGAUCAGCGACACUGGGACUGAGACACGGCCCAGACUCCUACGGGAGGCAGCAGUGGGGACUAUUGGACAAUGGGCGAAAGCCUGAUCCAGCAAUGCCGCGUGAGUGAUGAAGGCCUUAGGGUUGUAAAGCUCUUUUACCCGGGAUGAUAAUGACAGUACCGGGAGAAUAAGCUCCGGCUAACUCCGUG